GUCAUGCGAUAGGAUUUACACUGGGCGAUUUUGCUGAUGGAUCACGAGGCUUCUUAAUUCGUACGUUAUCUACACACACGUGCCACGUCUCACCUUCACGAAUACAAGCGUAACAUCCCUACGCGUUCCACGUACGACUCGGGGAGGAGAGGAGGGAACCGACGGACGGAUGGUUGCAAUGGCUGCAUCAUCAAUGGUUCCGGCUAGUGGUGCGCGAUUCCCCUCGUAAUACCUAUACAAAAAGUAAAAUCCUCCUCGUCGCACGGUGUCGGUGGUUGGGUGCGUUGGGUGUGUUGGGUGAAAAUAUACGAGUGUGGCGCGUUCACGUGAACGUCAACACACGCGAAACACGUGCACGGUAGAGACCAUCGCCGGUAUCCUCUGUACGCCUCCCUUCCAUCGGUGCUACUUUUUAUUUGAACUCAUCCUGCAUUUAUAUUAUGAAAAAUACACAAGUGCGCGGGUGUAGGUGCGUCGGAACGCGUAGGUGCGCGGCGAUAGCGUAGUACGGUGGAUGGGUAUAAUGCGAGGACCAGUACGGAUGGACGGUUGGACGGAUGGACGAGAGUACAAAGCGUGCCACGUUCCGGCGGGCGUGCUUCCUCCUACCGUAGGCACCACCGGGUGUCCGCUCCACUGAGCCAUAAGCGAACACCCGCCAUUCAAAUUGCGUUUAUAUCUUUCUGGAUACGGACUGGAUCGGUAUCGUUGCGGGAUCAAAAAAAAAAACAACGAGCGAAUCCCUCGAACCUUGGAAACGGAACUCGUUCGCAAUAUCGGGGAUUCGGUGGAACUGGGAGAGUGAAUUUUGAAGAAUCGCAGUCUCCGGUCGAUUUAAUCGGCGCGUCGUUCACGCGGAACGAGCGAAACGGUCGAAAUCUUCCCCACGUGCACGUGUCACUGGCAUGACUCUGUCAGUUCUACAGGUUUUUUGGGAAGAAAAACAAAAGAAUCGAUGUACGUACGUGCGGUUACCGCGCGCGGAUCGAGGGGGAAAAAAUAAUGUUCUGGUCUUUUCUCUCUGGUCUGGAGCAAAAAAAAAAAAGAAAGAAUAUUGACGCAGUGAUUCGUUAUCGGCGUAAUGGCGGGUAAACGGCUAUCGGGAUGAGCUGACCGUAUAAAAGGAAUGGAUGACGGGAAGGAACGAAGGUGGUAAAGGAGGAUCUGCGAAGAAAUAAAGGCGCGAAGCGUGAACCAUGGAAGAGAAGAAAAAAAAAAUAAAUAAAUAAAUAAAUAAAUAAAACCAAGGAGAAAAGUUCCAGAUGCGGCCCGAUGCUCUCCGCGGAGGUUAUCAGCCGAAGACGCAGUGGCCGACGCGGUAGUUUAUCGCGAUCCAUGGUCAAACGGAGUCGGGAGAGAAAAAAAAAGAAAAAAAAAAAACAAA